CAGCAGCCACGGGAAUACGUAGGUGGCAAGCGUUGUCCGGAAUUAUUGGGCGUAAAGGGCUCGCAGGCGGUUUCUUAAGUCUGAUGUGAAAGCCCCCGGCUCAACCGGGGAGGGUCAUUGGAAACUGGGAAACUUGAGUGCAGAAGAGGAGAGUGGAAUUCCACGUGUAGCGGUGAAAUGCGUAGGGAUGUGGAGGAACACCAGUGGCGAAGGCGACUCUCUGGUAUGUAACUGACGCUGAGGAGCGAAAGCGUGGGGAGCGAACAGGAUUAGAUACCCCAGUAGUCCCUGUCUCUUAUAC
rnacentral:rRNA from 1 species